rnacentral:rRNA from 1 species
ACGAAGGGGGCGAGCGUUGUUCGGAGUUACUGGGCGUAAAGGGCGCGUAGGCGGCGAUCCAAGUUAGGCGUGAAAGCCCCGGGCUUAACCUGGGAAUUGCGCUUAAGACUGGACUGCUUGAGUGCGGGAGAGGUGAGUGGAAUUCCCAGUGUAGAGGUGAAAUGCGUAGAUAUUGGGAGGAACACCAGUGGCGAAGGCGGCUCACUGGACCGGUUCUGACGCUGAGGCGCGAAAGCGUGGGGAGCAAACGGGA